AGCUCUGUGGCACAGUGGGUUAAUGCCCUGGCCUGAAGCGCCAGUAUCCCAUAUGGGUGCAGGUUUGAAUCCUGGCUGCUCUA
rnacentral:tRNA from 1 species